GCUAACAUUAGAUAUGUUCGUUUUUCAGAGCGACGUGAAAUAUACUUUAUAGCAAUUAUUGAUGUAUUGACCCAAUAUGGUGUUAAAAAACAGGCGGCCAAAGCUGCUAAAACUGUGAAAUAUGGUAGUAAUGUUGAUGGUAUUUCGACAUGUGACCCCGACCAAUACGCCAAAAGGUUUUUAGAUUUUAUGGAUAAAGCUAUAGAGUAGAAAUAUGUUGUUUAACUUGCAAGAAAAGAAAACUGAGACCGAUAUUUCAUUAUACAUUAAUAUACAUAUUCGAUAUCUAUGUACUACAUAUAUUAAGUACGUCGCAAACACUAUAUAUAUAUAUAUAUCUAUGCGUAUAUAUAUGUGUUAAAAUAUACGCAUAUGCAUAAGAAUGUUAAUUCACACAUAUAGGUAUAUGUUGAUUACUAAUUUUAAAUAUUUUAUAAAAUAAUUAUGUAUAAGUUUAAAAUGCUUUAAGCAUAUUGCCAAAAAACUCAUUCAAUAUUCAUUAUAUUUAUGCACUUCAAAAAUGAAUUGUGACUUUGUAUGUAAAAGAACAGUAACACUCUUUGUGUAAAAAAAUAAAGGAUAUCAAAUUUACAUACUACA